rnacentral:rRNA from 1 species
UUCCGUAGGGGGGACCUGCGGAAGGAUCAUUAUUGAAUACUCUUGAUGGGUUGUAGCUGGCUCUUCGGGGCAUGUGCACACUUGUCUUGACUUUAUUCAUCCACCUGUGCACCUUUUGUAGUCUUGUGGGUUGAGAGCAGUCGACUAUCGGAUGGCUAUGGCCUUUCCGGACGUGAGGAAUGCUGAGUGCGAAAGCAUACAGCUCUUCUCAAAUGACUUGCAAAACCUCUYCCUCAAGUACUAUGUAUUCAUAUACCACAUAGUAUGUUGUCGAAUGUGAUCAAUGGGCCUAUGUGCCUAUAAAAAUCAUAUACAACUUUCAGCAACGGAUCUCUUGGCUCUCGCAUCGAUGAAGAACGCAGCGAAAUGCGAUAAGUAAUGUGAAUUGCAGAAUUCAGUGAAUCAUCGAAUCUUUGAACGCACCUUGCGCUCCUUGGUAUUCCGAGGAGCAUGCCUGUUUGAGUGUCAUUAAAUUCUCAACCCCUCCAGCUUUUGCGAGUUGUGAUGGGGCUUGGAUAUGGGAGUUUGCGGGUCUUUAUCAAUAAAGGUCAGCUCUCCUGAAAUGCAUUAGCGGAACCGUUUGCAGUCCCGUCACUAGUGUGAUAAUUAUCUACACUGUGAUGAUUGCUCUCUGACUAGUUCAGCUGCUAAUCGUCCACUAUGGACAAUACUUAAUGAACUUCUGACCUCAAAUCAGGUAGGACUACCCGCUGAACUUAAGCAUAUCAAUAAGCCGGAGGAA